GGGGGGCGCGGCCGCGGGCCGGGGGUGUGCCGGGCCCCGGGCAGGACUGCCCCUCCCGGCCCGAAGGAAGUGCCGCCGGAAUUCCUUGAGCCGGAGCGGAGGAGGGAGGAAAGAGGACGGACGGUGGGCGGAGGGGCAGCGGGUCCGAGCGUGGCCCCGCGCGGCCUGAGCACGGGUCAGGCCGGGGGAGCGUGGGAGCCGACCGCCUGUCACGGGGCCGGGGGCCGCCGGGAGAAGGCGGUGGGUGCGGGACAGCGUGUGGCCUCGGGGCCGGGCCUCCGGCGUCGGCUCCAGGAAGGGCGGCCCCGCACUUGUCAGCCCGCACAUGUGUGCAGAGGCCGCCGUGCACGAGGCGCAGGCCGGCCCUUUGUGCCAGAGAAAUAGUCCACUACCGGAGCAGAUCAUCAUUUAUGGAGCAUCUACCAUGAUUUGGGCAAAUGUCCAAGCCUGACAGAGAAAACAGAAAGAGAAGCCUUUCUCUGGAUAAAGAAAGCUCUUAUCCUCAGCUUGCCUCCCCCUCACACUGUCCCAGAUCUGUACUUGGAGAAAGAGAAAUUAAGAGGGUCCAACCCACCCAGUGUCUGGGAGAGGAAUAAAGACACUUCUCAUCCUCAAAGACUUGAAAACAAGAGGCUCAAGAGAGAACCCUACCAGUUUGAAACCUUGGAGCUGCCACUGGAACCAGGAAAAUCCUUCAGAAUUGAACUUACUUUUUAUUUCAUGAUAUUAAUACUUUGUACCAUUAAAAAGUCGUACUUUA